UCGGACGUGGUGCAUGGUGCACACCCUCCUACCCUAAUCAUCCAGUUAUCGCUUGAAUAAGGCUGAGGGAAGCCGGGGUUCGAUUCCCCGCGUCUGAU